ACGAACACCAACAAUAUUGCUGCUCCACAGUCUCGCAUUAAAAUUAAGUGCCAACAAAGCAAGUGAGGAGGGAAAACUCAAGCUUCAGAAUAUAUCAAACCAAAUACCCACAAUGCAUCUAAAUUAUGGGAAAAGAUCAUGGGACAAAGGGUAAGAUGUAAACAUCCCUACCUCUAACUCUAAAAGGGUAGCACAGUUGUAUGUGUAGAGACCACGGUGACUUGAAUAAAACAAAAUCUGUUAAAUAGCACCAAAUAGUAAAAACAGUAGCAGCAUAUAGAAUAACUGAACAACUGCGAUUAUCAACUCAGCUAGAGCUAAGAAGUCCAGAAGUCACUUGUAUCAAUUGGAAGAGAUAAACACCUGACUCCUGAGCAUAUGGAUUAACAAAAGAUCACUGUUGACUACUGAACUCUCCAUACUCCUCAGAUGUAGGACUGGGGAGUUACAAACUUGCCCACUUAAAUUCCUAACAUCCCCAUGUCAAAUCCCGAGUCACAGUCCUCGAUAUGGGACUGAAGUGUUACAUAUACUUCUCAUCUACUGAAUGUACUCUCAAAGAUGUUGGAAAUCAGUUAAAUAACAACAUUGUUCUGACUUCACUUUAGGUGGCGACACGAAAUCCAUGAAUGAACUGAAAAUUGAAGUAGCCUCAACUGACAAACUAAAAUAAGCUUAAACAUAGAAAUUCUUUUCAAAAUCCAGCCACCAUUUACAGCGGACCUCGAUGUCUGUUAUAAAACAGCUUGAUCAUUAAUAUUUUCUCAUAACUCAUAUGUAAACACGUGGUAUAAUAAUGUCAACAGAGCUUUUAAGGUAUAUUAACAAAGUUGGUCCAGGAGUCUCGGUGCUAACAACACAGCAAUUAUUCAAGGGCUAAUAUGCACAGGACAGGCAACCGAGUUGAUCAAGUUAUAUCCAGCUUGUUGUUGAAAGCAAAAAUUACUGCUCCAGCAUGUUCAGUUGCAUUCCUGACAAUUGGCAAUAGAAUGAUGAUGAUGAAGCUUACAGAUAAUCCCCAGGAGGCUGAUGCUUCCUGUAAAAUUCUUAUAUCACUCAAAUUUAUACCAAUAGAAUAGAAAAAUUAUAUGAUUUCAUUAGAUUAAUCAAAUUCUAUUCAGAUAAUAAUGAAGGGAAUAAGUAGGCACAAUGUUUAAUUACCUCAGUAGUGCCAACAACAUACUCAGAUAACACUGAUAUAACAACAGUCAUAACAGCCAGCCAGAUAAAUCCACUCCAGAAUCCUGUAACAGGUGUUUCAUCUGAAACUAAAUCAUCUUCUUCUUCAUAGACAGCAUGACAAAAAAGAAAUUCCAAAAACCAUCUUAACUAUAUAUAUUAAAUUCAAAUAACACGAGUUGCAUCUUCUUCUCCACACAUAAAAGUAAAGAAAAAUGUACCUAUUGGGCUUCAAAAACUUCGUGAUGAGUCCACAACUGGGAAAAAAGGCCCUGGCUGCAUGCAACAUCACCAAUUAGAACCUCAGUAUCAUAGAAAGCCACAAAAGGAGUAAUCCUACUACCAUGAUCAUUGGCAAAUAUUUCGACGUGGUUACCUUACCAAACUCAAUACAUGAAUACAUGGUUCCCAGAUCAAUUCAAAUUGCAGGUCCUCAUUUUCCAGCCAUAACAUCACCAAUUAGAACCUCAGUAUCAUAGAAAGCCACAGAAUAAGGAGUAACCCUCCUACCAUGAUCAUUGGCAAUGAUUUCGACAUGGUUACCUUGCUAAACUCCAAUACAUGAGCAAUUGCAGGUCCUCAUUUUCCGGCCAUUCCGUAAAAUCAAGCAUAAUAGUGCAAAUGGAAACUCACAUAAAAAUAAAGAGUUUCUCUGCCAGAGUGAGUAAUUUGCAGAAAGGAAAAAAUCUGAAGUAAAAGCAUUCUUUUUCUCUGUCCCUUUCUUGUUCACUUUUAGCUUCUGCUCUGUACAUCAGCUUCUUUUACCAUCUUUUACAAGCUCUUCGUUUAACAACCUCUCCUCGUUAUAGGUUGUACUUCUAAUCUUAUCUUUUGUCCCACACAAGCCUUUUAUUCUCUCCUAUAAACUGCUCUGCAAAUCUCGAAUCCAAUCUUUUCAUAAAUAUCUGGAACCAAAACCAAACCCUAGAAUCAACUAAAAUAAAUUAUAAUAUCUUGAACCAAAAUAAAUCUUGGAAUCAACCAAAAUAGGCACCCAAAUAAAUCAACAAACAAAGAAGAUAUAACUGAUCAACAUGGGCGGAACCGAGGAUUAACGGAGAUAUAAAUGGAUAAUAAAAUGGCACAAGCAGGCCAUAUCAAGACCUAUAACUCAGAUAAAAUUCAUUUGAAUUAUUGAUUAGACCUUCAUCUACCGGAAGUCCUAUAUAAAAAGGAAAAGAGUCUUUGACUUUUAUAUGACNUAAAAUGCGGUUAAAACCACACCGCACCGCAUUUAAUAUAUUAUAUAAAAAAAUAUUUAUAAAUAUUAUAUUAUAUGCGUUAAUAUGCUAUAUUAUAAUUUUAUUAUGCAUCCAUCUAAGCAGUUUUAUUUUUAUAUGAAGCCCAUCAAAUCUGGGCAGCGUUAUAAAAACAGAAGUGUCCUACAUAUGCAGCAGGGAAGCAAGCACCAGUAGUCUGGUCUGUUCUUGUAAAUUACUCGGUGUUUACAAAUUUGUCAGAACUAGCUUUAUAGCCCGUGCAAGGCACGGGCAAGCUCUAAAUUAAUAUAUUAUAAAUAUUUAUAAUGGGUGGGAAAAGUUGGAGUGCUAGAAAGGUCGUAAAUAAUAAACACCCAUGAUGAAUGUAGAAUUUGAAAAGGUCUUGUAAGUAUGAAUCAAAAGAGGUCAUGGAGUGUCAUUCAAAAAGAACGGUAUUUUUGUUACUUGAUAAAGAUCUUAAAACGAUAAACAAAAAAUAAAUAGAUACUUCAAAAUAGAAUUUCCAGGAUUUACGAGGAAUGAGUUGUAGAGAUAUAAAUUACACAUGUGCCAAUAUUUGUAUCUCAAAAUCAAGUUGGUUAGGUUAGAACAAAGGAAGCCAAAGUAGAUUUAGAAACAUGAAGUACGAACACCAACAAUAUUGCUGCUCCACAGUCUCGCAUUAAAAUUAAGUGCCAACAAAGCAAGUGAGGAGGGAAAACUCAAGCUUCAGAAUAUAUCAAACCAAAUACCCACAAUGCAUCUAAAUUAUGGGAAAAGAUCAUGGGACAAAGGGUAAGAUGUAAACAUCCCUACCUCUAACUCUAAAAGGGUAGCACAGUUGUAUGUGUAGAGACCACGGUGACUUGAAUAAAACAAAAUCUGUUAAAUAGCACCAAAUAGUAAAAACAGUAGCAGCAUAUAGAAUAACUGAACAACUGCGAUUAUCAACUCAGCUAGAGCUAAGAAGUCCAGAAGUCACUUGUAUCAAUUGGAAGAGAUAAACACCUGACUCCUGAGCAUAUGGAUUAACAAAAGAUCACUGUUGACUACUGAACUCUCCAUACUCCUCAGAUGUAGGACUGGGGAGUUACAAACUUGCCCACUUAAAUUCCUAACAUCCCCAUGUCAAAUCCCGAGUCACAGUCCUCGAUAUGGGACUGAAGUGUUACAUAUACUUCUCAUCUACUGAAUGUACUCUCAAAGAUGUUGGAAAUCAGUUAAAUAACAACAUUGUUCUGACUUCACUUUAGGUGGCGACACGAAAUCCAUGAAUGAACUGAAAAUUGAAGUAGCCUCAACUGACAAACUAAAAUAAGCUUAAACAUAGAAAUUCUUUUCAAAAUCCAGCCACCAUUUACAGCGGACCUCGAUGUCUGUUAUAAAACAGCUUGAUCAUUAAUAUUUUCUCAUAACUCAUAUGUAAACACGUGGUAUAAUAAUGUCAACAGAGCUUUUAAG
rnacentral:lncRNA from 1 species